AACGAACGCUGGCGGCAGGCUUAACACAUGCAAGUCGAGCGCCCAGCAAUGGGAGCGGCAGACGGGUGAGUAACGCGUGGGGAUCUGCCCGAUGGUACGGAAUAAUUCCGGGAAACUGGGACUAAUACCGUAAGUGCCCGCCAGGGGAAAGAUUUAUCGCCAUCGGAUGAACCCGCGUCGGAUUAGAGAGUUGGUGUGGUAAAGGCGCACCAAGGCGACGAUCCGUAGCUGGUCUGAGAGGAUGAUCAGCCACACUGGGACUGAGACACGGCCCAGACUCCUACGGGAGGCAGCAGUGGGGAAUAUUGGACAAUGGGCGCAAGCCUGAUCCAGCCAUGCCGCGUGAGUGAUGAAGGCCUUAGGGUUGUAAAGCUCUUUCGCCGGUGAAGAUAAUGACGGUAACCGGAGAAGAAGCCCCGGCUAACUUCGUGCCAGCCGCCGCUGUAACAC
rnacentral:rRNA from 1 species